UUGAAUCAUGCCUCGAUGCAGAAAUCAUGAUUACAAUUGGACGAUGAAUUGUGGAUUCUGUGAUUUCCACCGGUUCUUGUUCACCUAAUGCUCGCAAAUCAAAUACGUUUACAGUCUUCGAAGUGAAAGUUAGCGAAUGACUGAAUUUGGAUGAUUGCUUGUGUUCUUCAUCAAUCAUCAGCUUCCGCUCUUCACUUCCAGAUGGACGAUGGAGCUAUUUGAUUCGUUCUAAUCGCUAUUGAGCAUUCGAGUAAGUUAUGGUCUUCGAAGAGAAACUUGAUGAAUGACUGAAUUUGGAUGAUUACUUGUGUUCUUCAUUAACCAUCAGCUUCCGCCAUCUAAUCGCUAUUUAAAGUUCGAGUAAGGUGCAGGUUUCUGAGUCCUAUUUGUCACAAUGUCAUUCCGAUUCUUCUGUUCAUGUUUUUGAUCCGUUUAUAAUCACUAUUGGUAAUUCAAUGCAGAUUUUGUAAAUUUAUCUGUUUUGAUAACAUUGAAACUAUUCUGUUCUU